GAUGAACGCUGGCGGCGUGCCUAAUACAUGCAAGUCUAGCGAACAGACGAGGCGCUUGCUCCUCUGACGUUAGCGGCGCACGGGUGAGUAACACGUGGAUAACCUACCUAUAAGACUGGGAUAACUUCGGUAAACCGUAGCUAAUACCGUAUAAUAUAUUGAACCGCAUGGUUCAAUAGUGAAAGACGGUUUUGCUGUCACUUAUAGAUUGAUCCGCGCCGCAUUAGCUAGUUGGUAAGGUAACGGCUUACCAAGCCAACGAUGCGUAGCCGACCUGAGAGGGUGAUAGGCUACACAGGAACUGAGAGACGGUCAAGAGGCCUAGGGGAGGAAGCAGGAGGGAAGUGGGCGAAAUGGGGGAAAGCGCGAAGGAGCAACGCAGCGUGGGUGAUGAAGGUAUGAGGAUCGUAAAACUGUAUUAUUAGGGAAGAACAAAUGAGUAAGUAACAAUGCACGUCUUGACGGUACCGAAUCAGAAAGCAACGGCUAACUAUGUG
rnacentral:rRNA from 1 species